UACGUAGGGUGCGAGCGUUAAUCGGAAUUACUGGGCGUAAAGCGUGCGCAGGCGGUUUUGUAAGCCAGAUGUGAAAACCCCGGGCUUAACCUGGGAAUGGCAUUUGGGACUGCAAGGCUUGAGUGCGGCAGAGGAGACUGGAAUUCCUGGUGUAGCAGUGAAAUGCGUAGAUAUCAGGAGGAAUACCGAUGGCGAAGGCAGGUCUCUGGGCUGACACUGACGCUCAUGCACGAAAGCGUGGGGAGCAAACAGG
rnacentral:rRNA from 1 species